CAGCAACAUUGCCUGGCUGGAGUGCCGCCAAGAUCACCCAGAGGUAUUUCUAGUAUGUGCAUCACUGAAGUACCUCAUGGAAGAAAAAAAAGUUGCACAGCUUCUAAAUCAGGUACUCUGAUCUCAGUAAAGUAUGGGUUGCAGAGUCCAUUCUAGAUUUUGAUUGGAGCAGAUUAUUUGAAUACCAGGAUGGGAUGCCAUCCUACAAGCACAGGCUCAGAGACUCCCAAGUCCACAUCGCCAACCUCCAAUCAAAGCUGACCUACUGAAGAUACUACCUGUUCAUGGUUGUCUUUGUUUCAGGGAAUAGAGGGGCUAGGAGACUGAAAUGACAAGAUGAGUCUGUAGUAAAACAGUGAAUUUUGUGUCUCUUGAUUCUAAAGAUAGUAUCCUUGUCUCUGUAUACUGUAUCCCUCCCAUUUUUUACGUCUCGAUGUGAAACAAGAAAGUAGAAGCCCUCACUAGAAUUUCUGUAUCCAUUCUUUCUCCCAACUUGUACUGGCUUUUACUUGGUGUAUAAAGCACAUGUGGCUAAGUGUUCAUAAUGGUGAAUAUGUGAAAACCUGGAUAUGACACACACACACACACACACACACACACACACACACACACACACACACACACUUACAAUUAAUGCUUGUUUAUCUAACACACCAUGGAGUUUUUCCUUGGUGUUCUUCCCUCUGUGCCAGAACAGCUAGUGCUUGCCUAUAUAAUUUUAAUAAAUUUGGCUGCAUGGGAUAUUUUAGCCCUGCAGUGGACAAUGUUCAGCCUGUUUUAGUUAAAUCUUGACAGAUAGCUAUCCUGCAAUGUGUGGGAUUACCAUGUUCUAUGCACUGCUUGUAGUACUUAUUGAAAUGAAUUAAAGCUUCAAUGGGCUCACAUUACCUUCUAAAUAUGGCUGGUGCUCUUGGAGGGGAUGCAGUCUCAGGCACAGGCAGUGGCACUGGCACUGCUCCCCUCUCCUUGCUGCCUGUAGAACUGUAAGCCUCAUGCCUGCCAGUUGUAGGAAAGAGGCUGUCUCAGUUUGGGGUGGGGGACUUACAGAUCUCCCUCUACCCCCUUUUCCACCCCUUCCUGAGGGCUUGCCAGGUGCCUUUCCAUCGGGCUUCAUGGUGUUUCAUGCUGUCUUUGCCUUGGUCUGCUAGAAAACCUGUGUGUUGUUUUUUUUUUUUUUUUUGUAAUAUAAUCUGAUUUAUGUUAUA